rnacentral:rRNA from 1 species
CAAUAGCGUAUAUUAAAGUUGUUGCAGUUAAAAAGCUCGUAGUUGGAUUUCUGAUCGAGACAUCAGGUCGGGUCCGAGAGGAUCAUGUACUUUGAUUUUGUUUUGAUCAUCCUUGGGAGAGCAUUUCUGGCAUUCAGUUGUCGGGAUUGGGAUCCUCAUCGUUUACUGUGAAAAAAUUAGAGUGUUCAAAGCAGGCCUCGGCCUCUGAAUACAUUAGCAUGGAAUAAUAAGAUAGGACUUUGGUGGUCUAUUUUGUUGGUUUGCACGCCAAAGUAAUGAUUAAUAGGGAUAGUUGGGGGUAUUCGUAUUCAAUUGUCAGAGGUGAAAUUCUUGGAUUUAUGGAAGACGAACUACUGCGAAAGCAUUUACCAAGGAUGUUUUCAUUAA